rnacentral:rRNA from 1 species
UGGGGAAUCUUGGACAAUGGGGGCAACCCUGAUCCAGCCAUGCCGCGUGAGUGAUGAAGGCCUUAGGGUCGUAAAGCUCUUUCGCCUGUGAAGAUAAUGACGGUAGCAGGUAAAGAAACCCCGGCUAACUCCGUGCCAGCAGCCGCGGUAAUACGGAGGGGGUUAGCGUUGUUCGGAAUUACUGGGCGUAAAGUGCACGUAGGCGGACCAGAAAGUUGGGGGUGAAAUCCCGGGGGCUCAACCCCGGAACUGCCUCCAAAACUAUUGGUCUAGAGUUCGAGAGAGGUGAGUGGAAUUCCAAGUGUAGAGGUGAAAUUCGUAGAUAUUUGGAGGAACACCAGUGGCGAAGGCGGCUCACUGGCUCGAUACUGACGCUGAGGUGCGAAAGUGUGGGGAGCAAACAGGAUUAGAUACCCUGGUAGUCCACACCGUAAAACGAUGAAUGCCAGUCGUCGGGUAGCAUGCUAUUCGGUGACACACCUAACGGAUUAAGCAUUCC